CGUAAACUAAGGAAGAAGGUGCCAAUAUUUUCUUCUCCUUCAUUCAUCUUCUAUUUCAAAUUUUCAUGGGCCAUUUUCUCUGGCAGAGAGAGAGCGACGAACGGUAGUGGAUGGCCAGACAGUGGCGGCAAAAGCGUUAUUGGAAAUGACUUUGAGGUGCCCAAGGAAAAGUUGGCUGCCCAAGGAAGCUUUUCCUCUUCCCUAAGAAUAAUAUUAUAUUCAGCACUAAAAAUGUACAUUUAAAUAUAUUUUAUACAAUGAAUGCAAUCAGACAUGUGAAUGCAAAUUGUUUUGGGCUUU